UUAGUUGUAAGAAAGAAACGUUUCGCCGAUGUCACCCUCGUCUUCAUCUUCUUCACCGAUGCGGAAUUGAGUAUUGGAGAGAGGGCUUCUCCGCCGCCGGUGCUGCUCCAUCAUCGUUAAUCCUCUCGAUGAUGCCAAGACAAGGCUGCAAGCACAGGCUACCAGGGUUCCCUAUCCUUACCACUACAUCUGUCUUCAACCAAACGCCGUUUGUCAAUCUCUUUCAACCUCUGCUGCCGCGCCGCCGCCAUGUCAUUCCGGUUGUAACCGCUAUAAAGGCACGCUAGAUGUCCUUCACAAAGUUGCGCGUCAGGAGUGAAUUUAUGCAGGAAAGGUUUAUAAGAUUAUGGAGAGGCACAAGUGCAAGUUUAGCAUUGGUUGUGCCGACUGUUGGGAUCUAUAUGCCUUGUUAUGACAUCUUUCGCAACUUCAUGGAGGAGUUUACUACUCAGAAUGCUCCAAACUUAACACCUUAUGUUCCAUUAGUUGCCGGA